ensembl:snoRNA
UGACGAUGAGGAGAUCAUUACUGUGUUGAAUUACGGUGAUAGUUUUAUAUGUUAUUCUGAGCCAGCA